AGAUCUAUGGAGUGUUUGAAGAUUACCUAUCCAUCUGACAUAUGUUUCUGUAAAUCUGGAAAACCUAACUAAUAUAACUAUAGAAAUGACACGCAAGGAUAACUAUAAAUCUGUAAAUCUUAUCUACCCAAAUAACCUAAGGACAAAGGCUUCACAUUAACAAGAGUGGUUUCUCAGA